rnacentral:misc_RNA from 1 species
AGAAGGAAAACAAUCCUAUUGACAAGUAGAUGUCCUAAGUCCCACCUAUUUCUAAUGUAGCUCAAUUUCCGAGAAGAUAAUUUCCCUUGACACUAUUAGACUGGAGAUCCACAUUAGUCAUGCAUUUUGAGAACUCCCAAAGGCAAUCCCAUUUAUAUAGAAAAAGUCCCUCCAAACCAAGCAACUAAAUUUCCGAAAAAACACAUGAAACCAACUUUAUAAUGCCCUAGCACUCUACCAGUAAAAUAUGUUGCUCAACCAUCAA